UCUCAGUCUUAGGAUGUUAAUGGACAAAUAGCAAAAGUGACUUGGAGGAUUGAGAAUUUCUCCAGAAUCAAAGACAAAGAGCAAUUGCUCUACUCUGAACAUUUUACUGUCGAUGGCAACAAAUGGUAGCUUUGAUUUUCCUUCAUCUUGUGGCCUAUGUUUUAAUUUACAUUUCAUCUCCCAUGACUAAGAUUUGCAAACUUAUUUGGCAGGCAAAUACUUAUCUACCCCAAGUGGAAUAACGUGAAUUAUCUGUCAAUUAACCUAUAUGUUCCAGAUUCAGAAACUUUGCCUUUAGGAUGGAGUAGAUUUGGCCAAUACGGAUUUGCAGUCAUUGACCAAAUUGAUCGCCAAAAUUCCACUACCAAAGGACUCAAGGUCUCAUUUCACAUGAAUUCAUGCUCAAACCUGUUUUGGCUAAACAUAAGAUCAAGGAAGCUGAUCUUGCAAAGAAGCCAUAGACAACCAGAAAACUUCAAAAACCGAACCAGUAGAAACCACAACUCCUCCACCGACAUAGCCUUCUUGCCAGAUUGUUGCCAAUGAAUCUGAAGAUCCUACCGAGGAAGAUAUAAAGACAUUCUUUACUAGCUUAGAGACUGAGCUUUCAAGCUCUGACAUUGUUUUUUUCUAAAGAAGCAAAGGAAGCACUGGCUAAACUAGAUGAAGCCUUGAAUAUGACCCCAGCUAGUUUCCAUGAUUCAGGGAAGUUUUCUUCACUUAAACAGGCAUUCAAGAUCCUAGCUAGUUUUGAUUGUUCCUCUACCACCCUUACAAUAGAGCAGAA